rnacentral:rRNA from 1 species
UACGUAGGGGGCAAGCGUUGUCCGGAAUCAUUGGGCGUAAAGCGCGCGUAGGCGGCCCGGUAAGUCCGUUGUGAAAGUCAAAGGCUCAACCUUUGAAUGCCGAUGGAUACUGCCGGGCUAGAGUCCGGAAGAGGCGAGUGGAAUUCCUGGUGUAGCGGUGGAAUGCGCAGAUAUCAGGAGGAGCACCGAUAGCGAAGGCAGCUCGCUGGGACGGUACUGACGCUGAGGCGCGAAAGCGUGGGGAGCGAACAGG